rnacentral:lncRNA from 1 species
GCCUUAAAAAUCAUAACAGAAAAUGAUCAUGUUCUUCUGUUUUGGAAAAGCCUGGCUUUAAAGGAAAAGCAUUUUAAUGAAAGCAGGGGCUAUGAGAUACACAUGUUUGAUAGUGCCAUGAAUAUCACAGCUUACCUUGGGAAUACUACUGACAAUUUCUUUAAAAUUUCCAACCUGAAGAUGGGUCAUAAUUACACGUUCACCGUCCAAGCAAGAUGCCUUUUUGGCAACCAGAUCUGUGGGGAGCCUGCCAUCCUGCUGUACGAUGAGCUGGGGUCUGGUGAGUGCAGAUGCAUCUGCAACGCAGGCUGCCAGAUCUACGGAUGUUGCUGCUGUGGUGGUGCCCAUCUUAUUCCUGAUACUGCUGAGCCUGGGGGUGGGGUUUGCCAUCCUGUACACGAAGCACCGGAGGCUGCAGAGCAGCUUCACCGCCUUCGCCAACAGCCACUACAGCUCCAGGCUGGGGUCCGCAAUCUUCUCCUCUGGGGAUGACCUGGGGGAAGAUGAUGAAGAUGCCCCUAUGAUAACUGGAUUUUCAGAUGACGUCCCCAUGGUGAUAGCCUGAAAGAGCUUUCCUCACUAGAAACCAAAUGGUGUAAAUAUUUUAUUUGAUAAAGAUAGUUGAUGGUUUAUUUUAAAAGAUGCACUUUGAGUUGCAAUAUGUUAUUUUUAUAUGGGCC